UGGUCUUAAUAGUUUAAAAGAACGCAGUGUUGAAGCUACUGAGGUGAGGAAACUCUGGGGCCAG